GGGGUUGUAGCUUAGUGGUAGAGUGCAUGUCUUACACAUGUGAGGCCCUGGGUUUGAUCCUCAGCACCA
rnacentral:tRNA from 1 species